UAGGGAAUCUUCCGCAAUGGACGCAAGUCUGACGGAGCAACGCCGCGUGAGUGACUAAGGAUUUCGGUUCGUAAAACUCUGUUGUUAGAGAAGAACAGCGCAUAGAGUAACUGUUAUGCGUGUGACGGUAUCUAACCAGAAAGCCACGGCUAACUACGUGCCAGCAGCCGCGGUAAUACGUAGGUGGCAAGCGUUGUCCGGAUUUAUUGGGCGUAAAGCGAGCGCAGGCGGUCAAUUAAGUCUGAUGUGAAAGCCCCCGACUCCACCGGGGGGGGGCAUUGGAAACUGGUUGAUAUGAGUGCAGAAGAGGAGAGUGGAAUUGUAUGUGUAGGGGUGAAAUGCGUAGAUAUAUGGAGGAAAACCAGUGGCGAAGGCGACUCUCUGGACUAUAACUGACGAUGAGGCAAGAAAGCAUGGGUAGGAAACAGG
rnacentral:rRNA from 1 species